CGUAGGAUGCAAGCGUUGUCCGGAUUUACUGGGCGUAAAGAGUUCGUAGGCUGUAAAUUAAGUCAGUUGUGAAAGACCGAGGCUCAACCUCGGGAACAUGGCUGAAACUAGUAUACUAGAGUAUGCAAGAGGUGCGUGGAAUUCUGAGUGUAGCGGUUAAAUGCGUAGAUAUUCAGAGGAACACCAAUGGCGAAGGCAGCGCACUGGGGCAUAACUGACGCUGAGGAACGAAAGCGUGGGGAGCGAACAGGAUUAGAUACCCUGGUAGUCCACGCCGUAAACGAUGUCUACUAGCUGUGGGAAGCAUCGACCCUUUCCGUAGCGAAGCUAACGCGUUAAGUAGACCGCCUGGGGAGUACGAGCGCAAGCUUA
rnacentral:rRNA from 1 species